GUUCGGUUAGCUCAGUUGGUUAGAGCGUGGUGCUAAUACCGAUUCGGUGGUCUAACGUACCGAUGAAGUCGUGUAACGCCAAGGUCGCGAGUUCGACCCUCGUACUGAACA